UUUAGAGUUUGAUCCUGGCUCAGGACGAACGCUGGCGGCGUGCCUAAUACAUGCAAGUCGAGCGAAUCUUUAGGGAGCUUGCUCCUGAAGGUUAGCGGCGGACGGGUGAGUAACACGUGGGCAACCUGCCUGUAAGACUGGGAUAACUUCGGGAAACCGGAGCUAAUACCGGAUAAUCCUUUUCCUCACAUGAGGGAGAGCUGAAAGACGGUUUCGGCUGUCACUUACAGAUGGGCCCGCGGCGCAUUAGCUAGUUGGUGAGGUAACGGCUCACCAAGGCGACGAUGCGUAGCCGACCUGAGAGGGUGAUCGGCCACACUGGGACUGAGACACGGCCCAGACUCCUACGGGAGGCAGCAGUAGGGAAUCUUCCGCAAUGGACGAAAGUCUGACGGAGCAACGCCGCGUGAGCGAAGAAGGCCUUCGGGUCGUAAAGCUCUGUUGUUAGGGAAGAACAAGUAUCGGAGUAACUGCCGGUACCUUGACGGUACCUAACCAGAAAGCCACGGCUAACUACGUGCCAGCAGCCGCGGUAAUACGUAGGUGGCAAGCGUUGUCCGGAAUUAUUGGGCGUAAAGCGCGCGCAGGCGGUCCUUUAAGUCUGAUGUGAAAGCCCACGGCUCAACCGUGGAGGGUCAUUGGAAACUGGGGGACUUGAGUGCAGAAGAGGAAAGCGGAAUUCCACGUGUAGCGGUGAAAUGCGUAGAGAUGUGGAGGAACACCAGUGGCGAAGGCGGCUUUCUGGUCUGUAACUGACGCUGAGGCGCGAAAGCGUGGGGAGCAAACAGGAUUAGAUACCCUGGUAGUCCACGCCGUAAACGAUGAGUGCUAAGUGUUAGAGGGUUUCCGCCCUUUAGUGCUGCAGCUAACGCAUUAAGCACUCCGCCUGGGGAGUACGGCCGCAAGGCUGAAACUCAAAGGAAUUGACGGGGGCCCGCACAAGCGGUGGAGCAUGUGGUUUAAUUCGAAGCAACGCGAAGAACCUUACCAGGUCUUGACAUCCUCUGCCACUCCUAGAGAUAGGACGUUCCCCUUCGGGGGACAGAGUGACAGGUGGUGCAUGGUUGUCGUCAGCUCGUGUCGUGAGAUGUUGGGUUAAGUCCCGCAACGAGCGCAACCCUUGAUCUUAGUUGCCAGCAUUUAGUUGGGCACUCUAAGGUGACUGCCGGUGACAAACCGGAGGAAGGUGGGGAUGACGUCAAAUCAUCAUGCCCCUUAUGACCUGGGCUACACACGUGCUACAAUGGAUGGUACAAAGGGCAGCGAAGCCGCGAGGUGAAGCCAAUCCCAUAAAACCAUUCUCAGUUCGGAUUGUAGGCUGCAACUCGCCUACAUGAAGCCCGGAAUCGCUAGUAAUCGCGGAUCAGCAUGCCGCGGUGAAUACGUUUCCCGGGCCCUUGUACACACCGCCCGUCACACCACGAGAGUUUGUAACACCCGAAGUCGGUGGGGUAACCGUAAGGAGCCAGCCGCCUAAGGUGGGACAGAUGAUUGGGGUGAAGUCGUAACAAGG
rnacentral:rRNA from 2 species